CAGAAUGCGAGAACUGUGUGCGUUACCAACAAGAGAUUGAACGUCUGCGAGCAGAACUACAGAAGCGAAACGCGGUGGAGUGAUGGAGAAGGAAGUGGAUUCUGUUCUUAUAAAGGAUCUCUCUAACUGUUUUGCUAGGCUUGACAGGAUUAUGUUAAGCAACAAGCCACGCAUAUAUGCGAUCUGUCUGCCUGACCUUCUGUUGUUCUACCUAUUAAAUAUGAUUUUAAUAAAGAUUCCUUGGGGAAAAAAAUGUUUAAUAUUAAA